UAGGAGCUCAGCCUCCCCCUCCCUGUAGAUAGAGAACACAAUAGGACCUCAGCCUCCCCCUCCCUGUAGAUAUAGAUGACAAUAGGAGCUCAGCCUCCCCCUCCCUGUAGAAUGACCUCUGCACAGAGCAUGCUGGGCGACACAUUGACUUUAUGGAGAAGAAACUAUAAACCACAGAAGAAUAAAGUCCUGUAGGGAGUGUGUCAUGUGAUCAUGUGACGGCCGGGGAAUGUUCUAGGAUAAAACAUUAGGAGGAUCAUGUACAGGAAUGAUGGGGGUCAUUGUCCUCUGAGAUGAAUCUGACGCUGAUUGUAUGAGAUGAUUGAUAAAUGACGAUCACAUAGGAGAUGACCUUGUCCAGGUUAUGUAUACAGCAGAAGGGUGAACCCGGCCAAGAGGGAGGACAAAAAGUAACCAAAACUGAGGGAAGAAGGGAAUGGAGGAUAAAGAAGAGUCUGGUGUAAAGAGAGAGAAGAGAGAUCGGGUCCAGACAGAUCCGUCAGGACUCUACCCCCAGAAUCAUCAGCUAGAACAGCAAAUCACUAUCAGACAAGAGAUAAAAGGGCGGAUUACAUGGAGAAGAUCACCCAGUGCUUCCUUUAAGGCCAUGUUCACACCGCAGAAUAUCUGAUAUUCCCCUCACAUUCCGCUCAGCAAAACCAGACGCAAGAUUAUUCACAGUUUUGUGAUUUUUGUGCUUUCAUUUGAGUCCUAUUAACUCCGAAAACUCCAUAAAAUAGAAGAUAUUGUGUAAACAACUCGGGGUAAUAGACCUGGAUCACAUCACAGAACAGUCAUAAAAUGCCCCGUAUAUGGUAUUAUAUUCACAAUAUGUACCUCAGUAAUUAUACAGACCCCAAAACCAAACACAGGUAAUGAUGGGAAAUCUAUCGCACUGACGUCUCUGUAGUGUAGAAUUGUGUGGACAGGUCGGCUGCCAUAUUGGGAAACAGGACCGACAUGAGGGAAUUAUUAUUGUAAUAAAGAUAUAAA